rnacentral:rRNA from 1 species
UACGUAGGUGGCAAGCGUUGUCCGGAUUUACUGGGCGUAAAGGGCGUGCAGGCGGUUUGUUAAGUGCAGGGUGAAAGCUCCCGGCUCAACUGGGAGAGGUCCUUGCAUACUGGCAAACUCGAGGGAGGCAGAGGAAAGUGGAAUUCCCGGUGUAGUGGUGAUAUGCGUAGAUGUCGGGAGGAACACCAGUAGCGAAGGCGGCUCGCGGGGCCAUUCCUGACGCUGAGACGCGAAAGCUAGGGGAGCGAACAGG